GCACCAGUACUUCAGCAGAAACCAUGCAAUGGGCAGUAGCAGAGCUCAUUAAUCACCCUACUGUUUACAAGAUUGCCAGAGAUGAAAUAGAGUCAGUUGUUGGAAGAAGUAGACUAGUUGAGGAAACAGAUAUCCCAAGCCUCCAUUAUCUGCAAGCAAUUGUGAAGGAAACAUUAAGAUUACAUCCAAAUUCUGCCUUAAUACCCAGAGUCUGCCAUCAAGGCUGUAAAAUCAAUGGCUUUGAUAUACCUGCACGUACUCCAGUAGCAGUCAAUGUCUAUUCCAUAGCCAGAGAUCCAGCAAUAUGGGAAAAUCCAAACGAGUUCUGCCCUGAGAGAUUCCUAGUUUCCUCUAAGACGGAAACCAAGGGACAGAAUUUUGAC
rnacentral:lncRNA from 1 species